rnacentral:rRNA from 1 species
GUGGAUAACCUACCUAUAAGACUGGGAUAACUUCGGGAAACCGGAGCUAAUACCGGAUAAUAUAUUGAACCGCAUGGUUCAAUAGUGAAAGACGGUUUUGCUGUCACUUAUAGAUGGAUCCGCGCCGCAUUAGCUAGUUGGUAAGGUAACGGCUUACCAAGGCAACGAUGCGUAGCCGACCUGAGAGGGUGAUCGGCCACACUGGAACUGAGACACGGUCCAG